rnacentral:rRNA from 1 species
CAGCCUACGGGACGCAGCAGUGGGGAAUAUUGCACAAUGGGGGAAACCCUGAUGCAGCGACGCCGCGUGAGUGAAGAAGUAUUUCGGUACGUAAAGCUCUAUCAGCAGGGAAGAAAAACCGGCCUUAGGGCCGCCAGACGGUACCUGACUAAGAAGCCCCGGCUAACUACGUGCCAGCAGCCGCGGUAAUACGUAGGGGGCAAGCGUUAUCCGGAUUUACUGGGUGUAAAGGGAGCGUAGGCGGUUAUGCAAGUUGAAUGUGAAAUCU